CAUUUUUUUUUAUCUCCUCCGUUUUUUUCGAUUUAAAUUUAUAUUUGGAUUUAUUUAAUUUUUUGUGUGUGAUUAGUGUAAAGGUUGUUCUUUUGUAUCUCUAAAAUGAAUGAUUUCCCCCUUUUGUUAGUAUUUUGUGUAUAUUUUCUCUGUUCAUUUGCAUAUCUGAUGAACUUCCUUGUUGUUUGUUCAAAAGUUAGCUUUUUUAGUGUUUAAUUGACAUUUCUGUGUAUUUAUAAGAAAUGUUUUAGGAUUAUUUUUUUGGUAACUUGUUGUUGUGGGCUUGAAGGUGAAUUGAAUCAUGAAUAUGUUUUUUUGAUUUUCUGGGUGUGUUUGUUUUAUAGAUCUAUUGUUAAUAA
rnacentral:lncRNA from 1 species